UACGUAGGGUGCGAGCGUUAAUCGGAAUUACUGGGCGUAAAGCGUGCGCAGGCGGUUGUGCAAGACCGAUGUGAAAGCCCCGGGCUCAACCUGGGAAUUGCAUUCGAGACUGAAUAGCUAGGGUACGGUAGAGGGAAGUGGAAUUUCCGGUGUAGCGGUGAAAUGCGCAGAUAUCAGGAGGAACACCGGUGGCGAAGGCGGGUCUCUGGGCCGUAACUGACGCUGAGGAGCGAAAGCGUGGGGAGCGAACAGG
rnacentral:rRNA from 1 species